GUCGCGAGCGGUACUUCAAUCCGGAUGGUGCAAACGUCAGUUAAGUGAGAGAGAAACAAACAGUGAAAAGAGCGCUUCGAAAAUCGUGAAUAUUUUGUGAACAGUGCCAAACAUUACUGAGAAAAAAAAUAAACCACGAAAAAUAUCAAAUCAGUGAAAAGAAGAUUAAAACUUCAGCCAGAAAUCUGCACACAUUUUUGUGAGGUGUCUGGAAGCAACAGCCGAACGGAAGCAGAAACAGAAACAGAAACACGAAGCCCGAAGCUGGUUCGUGAACGAGUGAACGUCGUCGUCCUGCUCCGUGUGGGUGUUUAUUUAACACAGUUCCUCGUGCGCCGCCCGUUCAGUUCGUGCCCGAAGUCCGUGCCGUACGCGCUCCGACCUACGACCCAACGCGGAAUUCGUGAACUUCAGAGAGACAGUGACAAAGAGACGUAAACGUGAACGUAAACGCAGAUAGUCAGGUGUCGCGUGUGCAAUGUGAAGAGUCGCUCAAGAUCGGUGGACCCGUAACCAAAUGUCGCUCAACGUUAACCGUGCUCAAGCUCCUCCUCCGCACACACACAUCUCUCGCAUAGUGGACCAAAAGUGCACCACUAACAAGCAGUAAAAGCCGCAACAAUCGCGAGUGUCCUGCCCGACGCCGAAAUAUACGUAUAACUGUAUAGUGCAUCAGGAAGGCAAGGAAGACAAUAUGUGCUCCAUGGGGAACCAGCGGCCCCAAGGCGCAGCCACUGGCCGAAAUCGCCGCCGCUUACACAGCAGCAGCAGCAGCAGCAGCUCUUACACUUACAGCCCCCUCAAUCGCCUUAGCCGCCUCAGUGCUCUGCUGCUCGUUCUGGGUGCGCAAAUAAUUUAUGUGGAAUAUGCUCGGGCGGAUUAUGAGAACACUUGGAAUUUAUAUUACGAGCCGCCCUGCUGCUCGGGAACAGCUGCGGGCCAUCAUCUGCGCCACCACAAAGAUCACGUCAAGGACUUUAGCUGUGGCCCAUUGCAUUACAGAACCUUCUAUAUGGAUGAGCGCAACAAUGCCCUCUAUGUGGGCGCCAUGGAUCGCAUUUUUCGGCUGAAUCUGCGUAACAUAAGCCAAUCGAUUUGCGAGCGCGAUGUUCUCAUACUGGAACCCACCGGCUCCGACAUUCUCAACUGUGUGUCCAAGGGCAAGCGGGAGAAGGUGGAAUGCCGCAAUCACAUACGCGUCAUACAGCCAAUGAAGUUCAAUGGACAUCGACUCUAUGUGUGCGGCACGAAUGCCCACAAUCCCAAGGAUUAUGUUAUAAAUGCAAACUUAACACAUUUACCCAGAUCCCAGUACGUGCCCGGCGUUGGCCUGGGCAUUGGCAAGUGUCCCUACGAUCCCGCUGACAACUCAACCGCCGUCUAUGUGGAAAACGGAAAUCCCUUUGGUUUGCCCGCGCUGUAUGCCGGCACCAAUGCAGAGUUCACCAAGGCCGAUUCGGUUAUUUUCCGCUCGGAUCUCUACAAUCUGACCAACGGCCGCAAGGAGGCAAACUUUAAGCGUACAGUGAAAUAUGACUCCAAGCUAUUGGACAAACCAAACUUUGUGGGCUCAUUCGAGAUUGGGGAAUUUGUUUACUUCUUCUUCCGGGAACAUGCCGUGGAGUACAUCAACUGCGGCAAGGAGGUCUACUCGCGUGUGGCACGCGUCUGCAAGAACGAUCGCGGUGGCAAAUACAUGAUGAGCCAGAACUGGGCCACGUACCUGAAGGCACGCAUGAACUGCAGCAUUUCCAGCGAGUUUCCCUUCUACUUCAACGAGAUUCAAUCGGUCUACAAGAUGCCCAGCGACGACAGCAAGUUCUAUGCCACAUUUACAACGAAUACGAACGGUCUGAUUGGUUCCGCUGUCUGCAGCUAUGACAUCAGGGACAUCAAUGCGGCAUUUGAAGGAAAAUACAAGGAGCAGGCUAGCUCGAACAGCGCCUGGCUGCCCGUACUCAACCAGAAAGUGCCGGAGCCACGUCCGGGCACAUGCCACAACGACACCGCCACACUGCCGGACUCCGUGUUGAAUUUCAUACGUAAACAUCCGCUAAUGGACAAGGCGGUCGAUCAUGAAUUUGGCAAUCCGGUCUUCUUCAAGCGAGACAUAAUACUCACCAAGCUGGUGGUGGACAAGAUACGCAUCGACAAGUUGAACCAGGAGUUUCUGGUGUACUUUGUGGCCACCAGUUCGGGACAAAUCUACAAGAUUGUGCAGUUCAUGCACUAUGGCCAGCGGCACUCCAAUCUGAUUGACAUCUUCGAGGCAUCGCCGCACAACGAACCCAUCCGCGAACUGAUACUCAGCCAGAAGACGGGCUCCCUCUACCUGGCCACCGAUCAUCAGGUGAAGCAGAUAGACAUUGCCAUGUGUGCCCGCCGCUACGACAGCUGUUUCCGCUGUGUGGCCGAUCCCUACUGUGGCUGGGACCAGGAGGUGAAUGCCUGCCGCCCGUACCAGCUUGGCCUUCUGCAGGAUGUGGCCAACGAGACGUCGGGCAUUUGCGAUACGAGUGUGCUCCGCAAGCGUGUCACCUCCUCCUACGGCCAGACACUGCAUCUCUCGUGCUUCGUCAAGAUGCCAGAGGUGCUGCGAAAGAAGCAGACGCGAUGGUAUCAUCACUCCACGGAGAAGGGACGCUAUGAGGUACGCUACACGCCCACCAAAUACAUUGAAACGAACGAGGGCGGCCUCGUCCUGCUGGCGGUUAAUGAGGGCGAUGGCGGCCGCUAUGAUAGCUACUUGGAUGGCACCCUGCUCUGCAGCUACGGGGUAACCGUGGACGCGCACAGAUGCUCGCCUCCUUCGCAGAAGCAGGACUACCAGAAGAUCUACUCGCAUUGGUGCAACGAGUUCGAGAAAUACAAAUCGGCCAUGAAACAAUGGCAGGCCAAACAGGAGCAAUGCGGCCUCAAGGACAAGGCAGGUUCUGUUAGCAGCAAUGGCAAACAUGUCAACGAUGUCUUCAGCAAUGAUGCCCUGGUCUGACCCAGAAAGUACUUAUAUAGCUCCGAGUUCUUGUCAUCAUCGUCGGAGGGAGGCGUGCCGCCCGCCCACCACAUACUGUACAUUUUCGUGUUCGUGCUUGCCAUGUUUGCUCGUUUCUAAAGUUUCUAGUUAAAAUGUAAAUGUGGAGAGGAGAUGAAGCAAAACCAAACACAGUAAGCAGCGAUGGGAGAAGAUGGUGAGAUGGAAAGGCCAGGAUGGGGAAAAAAUCAUGUGACAAGAGCCGAGCAGAAACCAACUACAAAGACUGAAAUUUUUAAGCUUUUAGCAUCGACAAUAUUUCGGAUAAUUUCAAUGAGUUUUUUGAUUAUGAUCAACACCUUCGUUACGUUUGCCAUUGCGUUUUCUGUUCGUUUUGAGAUGUUGUCAGCGUCAAAUAUUUGAUUGAUUUCGACAUUAACUAACUGAUAUACAAAGAUGGAGUAAACGAUAAAAGUUACUAGCAAAAGGAUCCUGCCAUAAAUCAAAUGGAAAUUUACGGUUUUACACACAGCAUAGACACACACAAACACACACACACACAGAAUACACUCUCCGACACAGAGAAUCUCUAUAUCUAUUUCGAGCUACGGUUAAGGAU